GACUCGGCGAGAAGUCCAUUGAACCUUAUCAUUUAGAGGAAGGAGAAGUCGUAACAAGGUUUCCGUAGGUGAACCUGCGGAAGGAUCAUUGUCGAGACCGAAAUAUGCACCGAGCGAUUCGGAGAACCCGUGAAACCACGUAGCCCGCGUGACGGCCGUCCAAGCCGUCGCCCCCUCUCCUCUUUCGGGGUGAGGCGGCGCGGCGGAGGACGGAUGAAAACACAAACCGGCGCAGCAUCGCGCCAAGGGAAAGCUGGAAGGCACGAGCCCCGCGUCGGGCUCGGUGGCGUGGAGUGCUGUUGCACGCCAUGCGGAUGGACACGACUCUCGGCAAUGGAUAUCUCGGCUCUCGCAUCGAUGAAGAGCGCAGCGAAAUGCGAUACGUGGUGCGAAUUGCAGAAUCCCGCGAACCAUCGAGUCUUUGAACGCAAGUUGCGCCUGAGGCCAGCCGGCCGAGGGCACGUCCGCCUGGGCGUCAAGCUUCGCGUCGCUCCGUGCCAGCUCCGUCCAGCCAGAUGGUCGUGACGGGCGAGGCUCGGAUGUGCAGAGUGGCCCGUCGUGCCGGUCGGUGCGGCGGGCUGAAGAGCGGGCUACGUCUCGCCGGCCGCGAACAACAAGGGGUGGGUGAGAGCUGUGAGCGCAUCAUGUGUUGUCUCGUGUUAGCCGAGAGAUGGUUUGUGCCCUUUAGGUGAUCCCGACCCAAGCGUCCGGCCCGGAUGCGCCGGCUUAGGAAAGCGACCCCAGGAUGGGCGAGGCCACCCGCCGAGCUUAAGCAUAUC
rnacentral:rRNA from 1 species